rnacentral:lncRNA from 1 species
GCUGUGUACCUAAGAUUGAGAACCGAUAUUGGGAAUGCGUCAAUGAAACAACACCCGAACAAAGAGUAGAAAACAACCAAAGGUCACCAAUGGGUCUUAAAUACAACGAAAAAUCCCGCAGCCGGAGGUGUGCUGGAGCUGGCCCCUAUAAUAAAAUGUACAUUGAAGACAUGUUGGUGACCUUCUGCUGUUGUCUGUUCUAUAAUCAGGUUG